GGUAAGGUGGCUGAGUAUUAAGCGGUGGAUUGUAGCCCCAUGGACAGAGGUUAGAUUCCUCUUCUUACCA
rnacentral:tRNA from 1 species